UAUGUCCAUUGCAGGUUUUACUGGUUGUGGAGAGAGAGAUCAUUUUUCUAGAUUCUGUACUCCCUGGUGGUUUUGGAGAUGACUCGUACAAAACGAUAUUUAGGUUAAGAGAGAGGAAAAAGUUGCCCUUGUUCAGUGGCUUUUACCAAUAAUAUUUUACGCAAGAGCCAUGUUCUGUGGCUGCUGAUUUACACAAAAGCCUUGUUCUAUGGCUGAUGAUUUACAAAAAGCCUUGUUCUAUGGCUGAAAAUUAACAAAAAGCCUUGUUCUAUGGCUGAUGAUUUAUAAAAAGCCUUGUUCUAUGGCUGAAAAUUAACAAAAAGCCUUGUUCUAUGGCUGAUGAUUUACAAAAAGCCUUGUUCUAUGGCUGAAAAUUAACAAAAAGCCUUGUUCUAUGGCUGAUGAUUUACAAAAAGCCUUGUUCUAUGGCUGCUUAUUUAUAGCUUUGUUUUUUUGUUUUAUGUUUACGCAGAAGCCUUGUUCGAUGGCUGUAGGAUUAGGUCUCAUUUUAUGAAACUAGACCAUGGAGAACAAUUGUAUGACUAUAGGUUUCAGUAAGUGUGUGUCCAUAAUUAAUUUUUUUUCCCAUUUUAUGUGCAGACAUAUUGCAGGCCAGAUUGACCCAAGACCCUGGACAGAGAAGACCGGCAGAAGUUUUGAUCACUUCCCUCAACAAACUUCUGGGAACUACUGUGGCAUCCUUAUACUCAUUUAUGCCCUCUGUAUCUGCACCAAUACCCCAUUUAUCUUCACAGAGAAUGAUGUGCCAUUAAUCCGCCAGUGGUGGUGCAUCCUACUGAUGGAAAGAUUUCAGAUUGAAGGACAUGGCCAGAGGUUUGCUUUCUGGACUGACAAGGCUAGCAGGCUAUUGCAAGGGACCCUUCAGCCACUUUUUAGGGUAUCUAGGUCAAUCACUUCAGACAUUCCACCUCAUGUGCAAACCAUGGUCAACCGCACAGCCCAAGAAAAGAAGCUGGUAGACUUUGCUGUACAAGACCAUGGAGUCCGGCAACAUUUGUUGGUAUGUUUGUCACACAUUAACAAUGUUUGUUAUUUACAAUUUGCACAUUGUUUUACCAUUACAGUGUUAUA